UUCGUAGGUGGCGAGCGUUGUCCGGAUUUAUUGGGCGUAAAGCGCGCGCAGGCGGUUCGCUCCGUCCGGUGUGAAAUCUCCCGGCUCACCUGGGAGGGGGCGCUGGAGACUGGCGAACUGGAGGCAGGGAGAGGUCGGUGGAAUUCCCGGUGUAGUGGUGAAAUGCGUAGAGAUCGGGAGGAACACCAGUGGCGAAAGCGGCCGACUGGACCUGUCCUGACGCUGAGGCGCGAAAGCGUGGGGAGCGAACAGG
rnacentral:rRNA from 1 species